ensembl:lncRNA
AGGACUAAGCUCUGAGUUUUUAUCUUGCCCAAAUUCCUACCUAAGGGGUCUAAGGGAGGCAUGCCCUACAAACCAUAAAUUCCCAUCAGAUGGGUUUUAUUUGACCCUAUAGAUCGUGACUUACUUUUCAAUCUGACUCUGGCAUAACAUUAUGAAACAAGGAAAAAAUAUUUAACCCAAAAUAUAUUUCCUUGCCAUACCUUGAAAUUGCCCUGCAAAGUCUCUUGUGGGAAAAAUCCACAUGCUAUAGAGAAUCCCCUUGCCCCCUUUGUUUUCCUUCCUUUCUUUCCAGAUCCAGGAGAGAACCAGCUAAGAGCCAGGCACCCUUCCUGUAGCCUGGAAGCCCCCACUUUGGGUUGUCCCACCUUUCUGAACCAAACCAAUGUAUUUCUUAAAUGUAUUUGAUUGAUGUCUCAUGCCUUCCUAAAAUAUAUAAAACCAAACUGUAUCCCAACCACCUUGGGCACAUGUUCUUAGGACCUCCUGUGGGCUGUGUCACAGACCCUGAUCACUCAGAUUUGGCUCAGAAUAAACCUCUUCAAAUAUUUUACAGAGUUUGACUCUUUUCAUCAACACAAUAAACUUGGUUGCUUUUGAAUUCUGACUGUCUAGAGGUGGAACAAGUAUUUCAUAUGCCUGAUGAUCUGCAGCCUGAUCUCGAUCUACAGUUUGAACCUUACUUUUGAGGUGAAGAGGCUGAGCUAGGGCCUGGUUCUGGUCCCAGUCUAGCAUUGGAACCACCUUUGGGAGCCUUUCUUGCUGAGUCAGCUUGUCAUUCAGAUCCUGGUAUGCAGCAGUGAACUCCUCUGGCCCCAGGGGCAGCUCUCCACUUGAAUCUGUGUCCAGGAAUGGAAUCAAAGUCUCAUCAAAAUCUCAGUCAGUUCCUGAGGCAGAAGAGAGUCUUAACUUCUUUUGAGAUAAUGAAAGCUUUUAACAAUUUUGUAUACUCUUAUCAACAAAAUUUGGAGCAUAUUUGUUUCUCUCUACCUGAUUUCUCCAGAAUUGGAAACUACUUGACAUGAGACUUCACAGCCUGCUAAAAAUGAGCUUUUGGGACCUACUUAUCAAGUAAUAAACCAUCCUAGCCAUGAGAGAUCAAAUGAAACCUGAGACCAGAGACUUAUUUUCUUAUAAAAUGCUUUCUCCAACAGAUUUUUAAAAAGAAAAGGGGGAAAUGCGAAAGGAAAAUAUCUGUGGCCCCCAAAAUCACAAAGGAAAAAUCAAGCUGGGAACUGCUUAGGGCACCCUGCCUCCCAUUCGAUUCAGUCACUCCUCUGCCCACUGAGAUAGAUGCUUAUCUGAAUUGCCUCCUUUGCAAAGGCUGAUCAGAAACUCAAAAGAAUGGAACCGUUUGUGUGUCAGCCAUCUGUGACCUGGAAGCUUCCUCCCCACUUAAGUCUUCCUGCCUUUGCUUCAAGUUGUCCCACCUUUCCAGAUGAAGCAAUGUACUUCUUACAUAUAUUGACUGAUGUCUCAUGAUGUCUCCCUAAAUGUGUAAAACCAAGCUGUGCCCUGAUGACCUUGGGCAUAUUUUGUCAAGACUUCCCUGAGGCUGUCACGGGUGCAUCCUCAACCUUGGCAAAAUAAACUCUCUAAAUUAA